UACGUAGGUGGCAAGCGUUGUCCGGAUUUACUGGGCGUACAGGGAGCGUAGGCGGUUGGAUAAGCCCUCCGUGAAAUCUCCAGGCUUAACCUGGAAAGUGCAGAGGGGACUGUUCAGCUAGAGGAUGGGAGAGGAGCGCGGAAUUCCCGGUGUAGCGGUGAAAUUCGUAGAUAUCGAGAGGAACACCGGUGGCGAAGGCGGCGAUCUGGACGAUGACUGACGCUGAUGCGCGAAAGCGUGGGUAGCAAACAGG
rnacentral:rRNA from 1 species